AUUGAACGCUGGCGGCAUGCCUUACACAUGCAAGUCGGACGGCAGCACGGGUGCUUGCACCUGGUGGCGAGUGGCGAACGGGUGAGUAAAGCAUCGGAACGUACCCGGGAGUGGGGGAUAACGUAGCGAAAGUUACGCUAAUACCGCAUACCCUGUGAGCAGGAAAGCGGGGGCUCGCAAGACCUCGCGCUUUCGGAGCGGCCGAUGUCGGAUUAGCUAGUUGGUGGGGUAAAGGCCUACCAAGGCAACGAUCCGUAGCGGGUCUGAGAGGAUGAUCCGCCACACUGGGACUGAGACACGGCCCAGACUCCUACGGGAGGCAGCAGUGGGGAAUUUUGGACAAUGGGCGCAAGCCUGAUCCAGCCAUGCCGCGUGAGUGAAGAAGGCCUUCGGGUUGUAAAGCUCUUUUGUUGGGAAAGAAAAGAUUCGGGCUAAUACCCUGGAUUAAUGACGGACCCAAA
rnacentral:rRNA from 1 species